CAUGCAAGUCGAGGGGAAACGACAUCGAAAGCUUGCUUUUGAUGGGCGUCGACCGGCGCACGGGUGAGUAACGCGUAUCCAACCUGCCCACCACUUGGGGAUAACCUUGCGAAAGUAAGACUAAUACCCAAUGACGUCUCUAGAAGACAUCUGAAAGAGAUUAAAGAUUUAUCGGUGAUGGAUGGGGAUGCGUCUGAUUAGCUUGUUGGCGGGGUAACGGCCCACCAAGGCGACGAUCAGUAGGGGUUCUGAGAGGAAGGUCCCCCACAUUGGAACUGAGACACGGUCCAAACUCCUACGGGAGGCAGCAGUGAGGAAUAUUGGUCAAUGGACGAGAGUCUGAACCAGCCAAGUAGCGUGCAGGGAGACGGCCCUAUGGGUUGUAAACUGCUUUUAUAAGGGAAUAAAGUGAGAGUCGUGACUCUUUUUGCAUGUACCUUAUGAAUAAGGACCGGCUAAUUCCGUGCCAGCAGCCGCGGUAAUACGGAAGGUCCGGGCGUUAUCCGGAUUUAUUGGGUUUAAAGGGAGCGUAGGCCGGAGAUUAAGCGUGUUGUGAAAUGUAGAUGCUCAACAUCUGAACUGCAGCGCGAACUGGUUUCCUUGAGUACGCACAAAGUGGGCGGAAUUCGUGGUGUAGCGGUGAAAUGCUUAGAUAUCACGAAGAACUCCGAUUGCGAAGGCAGCUCACUGGAGCGCAACUGACGCUGAAGCUCGAAAGUGCGGGUAUCGAACAGGAUUAGAUACCCUGGUAGUCCGCACGGUAAACGAUGGAUGCCCGCUGUUGGUCUGAAUAGGUCAGCGGCCAAGCGAAAGCAUUAAGCAUCCCACCUGGGGAGUACGCCGGCAACGGUGAAACUCAAAGGAAUUGACGGGGGCCCGCACAAGCGGAGGAACAUGUGGUUUAAUUCGAUGAUACGCGAGGAACCUUACCCGGGCUUGA
rnacentral:rRNA from 1 species